rnacentral:rRNA from 2 species
UAAACGACUCUCGGCAACGGAUAUCUCGGCUCUCGCAUCGAUGAAGAACGUAACGAAAUGCGAUACUUGGUGUGAAUUGCAGAAUCCCGUGAACCAUCGAGUCUUUGAACGCAAGUUGCGCCCGAAGCCAUUAGGCCGAGGGCACGCCUGCCUGGGCGUCACAC